AAUCUUCCACCAUGGACGAAAGUCUGAUGGAGCAACGCCGCGUGAGCGAAGAAGGUUUNCGGAUCNUNAAGCCCUGUUGCGAGGGNCGAACAAGUACGGGAGUAACUGCCCGUACCUUGACGGUACCUCGUCAGAAAGCCACGGCUAACUACGUGCCAUCAGCCGCGGUAAUACGUAGGUGGCAAGCGUUGUCCGGAAUUAUUGGGCGUAAAGCGCGCGAAGGCGGUCCUUUAAGUCUGAUGUGAGAGCCAACGGCUCAACCGUGGAGGGUCAUUGGAAACUGGAGGACUUGAGUACGGAAGAGGAAAGCGGAAUUCCACGUGUAGCGGUGAAAUACGUAGAGAUGUAGAGGAACACCAGUGGCGAAGGCGGCUUUCUGGUCUGUAACUGACGCUGAGGCGCGAAAGCGUGGGGAGCAAACA
rnacentral:rRNA from 1 species